UGGGGAAUUUUGGACAAUGGGCGCAAGCCUGAUCCAGCCAUUCCGCGUGCAGGAAGAAGGCCUUCGGGUUGUAAACUGCUUUUGUACGGAACGAAAAGGCUCUGGCUAAUACCUGGGGCUCAUGACGGUACCGUAAGAAUAAGCACCGGCUAACUACGUGCCAGCAGCCGCGGUAAUACGUAGGGUGCAAGCGUUAAUCGGUAUUACUGGGCGUAAAGCGUGCGCAGGCGGUUAUGUAAGACAGAGGUGAAAUCCCCGGGCUCAACCUGGGAACUGCCUUUGUGACUGCAUAGCUGGAGUACGGCAGAGGGGGAUGGAAUUCCGCGUGUAGCAGUGAAAUGCGUAGAUAUGCGGAGGAACACCGAUGGCGAAGGCAAUCCCCUGGGCCUGUACUGACGCUCAUGCACGAAAGCGUGGGGAGCAAACA
rnacentral:rRNA from 1 species